GCAUGUAGUGGCUACCCAAUAGAAUAGAAAGAUGAACCUCUAGGUGCAGUUACCAUGUGAUACAGUCCUACUAUCGUGGAUCCCUACAGGACGGAGGUCAUGGACAACUCGUCAAGCCCUGAGGAUGAUAGUGUUAUUUUGAUGAUUAACAAGCAAUUAUCUAGAGUAUGUUAUAAGUUAAAUCGAUACGUCAUUUAUAAGUUUAUUACUCUCAGUAUAUUUUGUAUUAAUUGAUAUAGAUGCAUUUCAUUGUUCAUUU
rnacentral:lncRNA from 1 species